UUUGGGCAAUGGGCGAAAGCCUGACCCAGCAACGCCGCGUGAAGGAUGAAAUCCUUCGGGAUGUAAACUUCGCAAGAACGGGAAGAAUAAGUGAGGGUUAAUAUCCCUCAUGAUGACGGUACUGUUUGUAAGCUCCGGCUAACUCCGUGCCAGCAGCCGCGGUAAUACGGGGGGAGCAAGCGUUGUUCGGAUUUACUGGGCGUAAAGGGCGCGUAGGCGGCCACUGCAAGUCGGUUGUGAAAUCUCCGGGCUUAACCCGGAAAGGUCAAUCGAUACUGCAGGGCUAGAGUGCAGAAGGGGCAACUGGAAUUCUCGGUGUAGCGGUGAAAUGCGUAGAUAUCGAAAGGAACACCUGCGGCGAAGGCGGGUUGCUGGGCUGACACUGACGCUGAAGUGCGAAAGCUAGGGGAGCGAACGGGAUUAGAUACCCCGGUAGUCCUAGCCUUAAACGAUGAAUGCUUGGUGUCUGGGGUUUUAUAGUCCCCGGGUGCCGUCGCUAACGCUUUAAGCAUUCCGCCUGGGGAGUACGGUCGCAAGACUGAAACUCAAAGGAAUUGACGGGGACCCGCACAAGCGGUGGAGCAUGUGGUUUAAUUCGACGCAACGCGAAGAACCUUACCUGGGCUAGAAUGCCUCUGACCGCCCUAGAGAUAGGGUUUCCUGGGUAAAACCAGGCAGAGUGCAAGGUGCUGCAUGGCUGUCGUCAGCUCGUCGGAGA
rnacentral:rRNA from 1 species